GCAUCGCUAAGGACGGAGAGUCUCCGGGGUGACCGGGUGAGCCUCGUGGGCACUGAGGACGGAUCAGAAGAGUGAGGCCUGAGAGAACAUUUCCUUUGCUGUGUAAAAGAGUCGGACUGGAGUAAGCAACUGAACUGAACUGAACCUGCUGUGAAAAUACUUUUGCUUAAUGUGUGUCUCAGCAUUUUUCUCAGCACUUGGAACCAGCCAACUGGGCAAGCCUAGAAAAAAAAUCCGUCACUGCUGACCGCAAAAGGCUUCCAGAACUUUUUUCAACGCGGAAGGGCGGGGGGAAACGGGCAAGCCGCUCCACGGGGCAGCACUGCCCCCUGCAGACCACAGAAACCAAAAUGCCACCAAGCCUGGAUGAAAACCGACCCUUCUUGCUUGGUUAUGGAGCAGAGGAUUUAUGGGGGAUGCCCCUGAGAACCAGAAAACGGGAACCUCUCCAAGAGGCCGGGGCUACCACCCCUGGACCCCGCGAGUUCCGCUCGACUCGCCCACAG
ensembl:lncRNA